GAUCCGUUGUUGAAAGUUUUAACUGAUUACGAUAAUCAACUCAGACUGCAUACUUUCAGAACAGCGUUCAUGUUGGGGUCUUCGGCGGGCGCGGGCCCGGGGGCGCAAGGCCUCCCCGGCGGCCGUCGAAACGGCGGGCCCGCCGAAGCAACAAGGUACGAUAGACACGGUUGGGAGGUUGGACCCAGAGGGCCCUCACUCGAUAAUGAUCCUU
rnacentral:misc_RNA from 1 species